GCAGAAUCGGGAUGGUGUUCCAAUCCUUUGCGCUUUGGCCGCAUAUGAAUGUUACGGAGCAUAUCCGUUUUCCGAU
rnacentral:tRNA from 1 species